UGAGCUCGAUGAGUAGGGCGGGACACGUGGUAUCCUGUCUGAAUAUGGGGGGACCAUCCUCCAAGGCUAAAUACUCCUGACUGACCGAUAGUGAACCAGUACCGUGAGGGAAAGGCGAAAAGAACCCCGGCGAGGGGAGUGAAAAAGAACCUGAAACCGUGUACGUACAAGCAGUGGGAGCACGCUUAGGCGUGUGACUGCGUACCUUUUGUAUAAUGGGUCAGCGACUUAUAUUCUGUAGCAAGGUUAACCGAAUAGGGGAGCCGAAGGGAAACCGAGUCUUAACUGGGCGUUAAGUUGCAGGGUAUAGACCCGAAACCCGGUGAUCUAGCCAUGGGCAGGUUGAAGGUUGGGUAACACUAACUGGAGGACCGAACCGACUAAUGUUGAAAAAUUAGCGGAUGACUUGUGGCUGGGGGUGAAAGGCCAAUCAAACCGGGAGAUAGCUGGUUCUCCCCGAAAGCUAUUUAGGUAGCGCCUCGUGAAUUCAUCUCCGGGGGUAGAGCACUGUUUCGGCAAGGGGGUCAUCCCGACUUACCAACCCGAUGCAAACUGCGAAUACCGGAGAAUGUUAUCACGGGAGACACACGGCGGGUGCUAACGUCCGUCGUGAAGAGGGAAACAACCCAGACCGCCAGCUAAGGUCCCAAAGUCAUGGUUAAGUGGGAAACGAUGUGGGAAGGCCCAGACAGCCAGGAUGUUGGCUUAGAAGCAGCCAUCAUUUAAAGAAAGCGUAAUAGCUCACUGGUCGAGUCGGCCUGCGCGGAAGAUGUAACGGGGCUAAACCAUGCACCGAAGCUGCGGCAGCGACGCUGAUGCGUUGUUGGGUAGGGGAGCGUUCUGUAAGCCUGUGAAGGUGUGCUGUGAGGCAUGCUGGAGGUAUC
rnacentral:rRNA from 1 species